ACUGUUUUGCCGGUAGUCGUGGUAAUACUAUGAAAAUUUAGAUGCCAAUCACCAUAUAAGUUCAACGAUGAAAAAGCCUGGAAGGAGGAGAGAUGACUAGAAACGAUUCAGUUGGCCUUUUUAUUUGUGGAUUAAUUGGCGGAGUAGAGGAGCUUGUGCAUUUCAGGAUUAGUGCUGUCAGGAGAAGCUUCUGCCCUGUAUUUAUUACCCCGCCUGUGGGUGUGAGGAGGGAAGGAGGAGGGAAGGAGGGGAGCGUCCGUGACCCCCAGCCAGGCCCUGGUCCUGUUUUGUCUUCGCUACAUUCCUCCUGCUGCAGUGAGAUGGUACUAACUCACUGCCUGUGUUCCCAGAGACAGACUACCUCACAUAGAACAAAUACAAUAGUAUGUUAUGGUAUAAAUACUUACUUUACUGUAGUAUUCUUUACUGUAGUAUUUACUAUAUUAUUUACUGUAGUACACUGCAGUAUUUACAAUUGUUAACUAUGUAAAACUUUAGUAUAUACUAUAGUAUUUACCAUAGUGUAUUUGCAGACUGUGUAGACCAUUAUGUAGUAUUUACCCUAGUGUUACUGACAUUACUGUAGUAUAUUUGUUUUAUUACCUUUGACAUAGAAGGGGAGUCUUUCUCCUUCAGGAAACCUACUGGAGAAACAUUAAAAGAGCAAACGCUUGCUAGCCUAACUUCCUUGCAUGAACCAGCUAAGUUAGCUAGCUAGUUAAAGUGAGCCUACUAGGAUGCAUCUAGGCUACAUAUUGAACUUCAAUCGUCUCAGGCCGGUGGCACAAUAUAUGAAUUCAUGGUUAGUUCAGAAUCGCCGUCAUAAUCAUUGGCCUGUACAGAGAACUAAUCUCCAUCCAUGGCUUAGGAAAGGGCUUAUUUAGCAAGCUAGCUUGCUACUGCAGGACAUCAACACAAGUAGACCAGAAACAAACAUGUUUGUCUGACAAUGAUGAUGUUUUGCUUAGGAUGUGAUUUCAUUGGAAUGAAUCCAUAUCCAAACUGGCCUCCCUUGGAGGGCGUUUUUCUGCGCCAGGACAACCCACAGUUGAGCUCGAGGGAGGCCAAAUGCUUGCUGGCAUCAAUCACUCAAAUGCUACAGUGGAAACAUGUCACACUCUUUUGUUCCAGAUAGCAUCAGGUACAUUGACUAUACAUACUGAGACAGAGGGGCGCUGUUUCCCUCGCUUGGAUGAUUUCACCGCUGAGACCCAGCCACUUGCAUAUUCAUAGAAAAUUAUUAAAACAGAGAGACGAAAGAUACAUUAUUUAUAUUUUUUAUUGGUCAUAUAUAUGGGGAAGCCUGGCAUUCCUUGGGAUCCAUGAAUACAUGCCACUUAUCAAAAUAAAGGUAUCUUUCUUCUCUUUCUUGUGAUGUGGUUCUAGGUUUUGAGACGAUGCGUUAAAUGCCCAAUGGAGUUUUAGUGUUCUUAUAGAUGAAAUGGAAAGACAAUGUAUUCCAC
ensembl:lncRNA